rnacentral:rRNA from 1 species
GACGAACGCUGGCGGCGUGCUUAACACAUGCAAGUCGAACGAUGAAGCCUAGCUUGCUAGGUGGAUUAGUGGCGAACGGGUGAGUAAUACGUGAGUAACCUACCUUUAACUCUGGGAUAAGCCCGGGAAACUGGGUCUAAUACCGGAUACGACCAAUCUCCGCAUGGGGUGUUGGUGGAAAGCGUUAUGUAGUGGUUAUAGAUGGGCUCACGGCCUAUCAGCUUGUUGGUGAGGUAACGGCUCACCAAGGCGACGACGGGUAGCCGGCCUGAGAGGGUGACCGGCCACACUGGGACUGAGACACGGCCCAGACUCCUACGGGAGGCAGCAGUGGGGAAUAUUGCACAAUGGGCGCAAGCCUGAUGCAGCGACGCCGCGUGAGGGAUGACGGCCUUCGGGUUGUAAACCUCUGUUAGCAGGNAAGAAGAGAGAUUGACGGUACCUGCAGAGAAAGCGCCGGCUAACUACGUGCCAGCAGCCGCGGUAAUACGUAGGGCGCGAGCGUUGUCCGGAAUUUAUGGGCGUAAAGAGCUUGUGGCGGUUUGUCGCGUCUGCUGUGAAGGCCGGGGCUUAACUCCGUGUAUUGCAGUGGGUACGGGCAGACUAGAGUGCAGUAGGGGAGACUGGAAUUCCUGGUGUAGCGGUGGGAUGCGCAGAUAUCAGGAGGAACACCGAUGGCGAAGGCAGGUCUCUGGGCUGUAACUGACGCUGAGAAGCGAAAGCAUGGGGAGCGAACAGGAUUAGAUACCCUGGUAGUCCAUGCCGUAAACGUUGGGCACUAGGUGUGGGGAACAUUCCACGUUUUCCGCGCCGUAGCUAACGCAUUAAGUGCCCCGCCUGGGGAGUACGGCCGCAAGGCUAAAACUCAAAGAAAUUGACGGGGGCCCGCACAAGCGGCGGAGCAUGCGGAUUAAUUCGAUGCAACGCGAAGAACCUUACCAAGGCUUGACAUAUACUGGACCGCAUCAGAGAUGGUGUUUCCCUUCGGGGCUGGUAUACAGGUGGUGCAUGGUUGUCGUCAGCUCGUGUCGUGAGAUGUUGGGUUAAGUCCCGCAACGAGCGCAACCCUCGUUCUAUGUUGCCAGCACGUAAUGGUGGGGACUCAUAGGAGACUGCCGGGGUCAACUCGGAGGAAGGUGGGGAUGACGUCAAAUCAUCAUGCCCCUUAUGUCUUGGGCUUCACGCAUGCUACAAUGGCCGGUACAGAGGGUUGCGAUACUGUGAGGUGGAGCUAAUCCCUAAAAGCCGGUCUCAGUUCGGAUUGGGGUCUGCAACUCGACCCCAUGAAGUCGGAGUCGCUAGUAAUCGCAGAUCAGCAACGCUGCGGUGAAUACGUUCCCGGGCCU